rnacentral:rRNA from 1 species
GACGAACGCUGGCGGCGUGCUUAACACAUGCAAGUCGAACGAAGUGGCGGACGGGUGAGUAACGCGUAAUCAACCUGCCCUUCAGAGGGGGACAACAGUUGGAAACGACUGCUAAUACCGCAUACUGAAGGAGGGGAGUGCGUCUGAUUAGCUAGUUGGAGCGGUAACGGCCCACCAAGGAGAUGAUAAGGAGCCGGUCUGAGAGGAUGAACGGCCACAUGUGGACUGAGAAACGGCCCAGACUCCUACGGGAGGCAGCAGUGGGGAAUCUUCCGCAAUGGACGAAAGUCUGACGGAGCAACGCCGCGGGAGUGAUGACGGCCUUCGGGGUGUAAAGCUCUGUUAAUCGGGACGCGGUACCGGAAUAGAAAGCCACGGCUAACUACGUGCCAGCCGCCGCGGUAAUUC